UGGCGAACGGGUGAGUAACGCGUGAGGAACCUGCCUCAAAGAGGGGGACAACAGUUGGAAACGACUGCUAAUACCGCAUAAGCCCACGGGUCGGCAUCGACCUGAGGGAAAAGGAGCAAUCCGCUUUGAGAUGGCCUCGCGUCCGAUUAGCUAGUUGGUGAGGUAACGGCCCACCAAGGCGACGAUCGGUGGCCGGACUGAGAGGUUGAACGGCCACAUUGGGACUGAGACACGGCCCAG
rnacentral:rRNA from 1 species